rnacentral:rRNA from 1 species
CAGCCGCCGCGGGAAUACCGAGGGUGCGAGCGUUAAUCGGAUUUACUGGGCGUAAAGCGUGCGUAGGCGGCUUCUUAAGUCGGAUGUGAAAUCCCUGGGCUCAACCUGGGAAUUGCAGUGGAUACUGGGUCACUAGAGUGUGGUAGAGGAUAGUGGAAUUUCCGGUGUAGCAGUGAAAUGCGUAGAGAUCGGAAGGAACAUCUGUGGCGAAGGCGACUAUCUGGGCCAACACUGACACUGAGGCACGAAAGCGUGGGGAGCAAACAGGAUUAGAUACCCCGGUAGUCCCUGUCUCUUAUAC